UGAGCAGCUGUCAGUAUCAUCAUCAUCUUCAUCUUCAUCCAUAGAAGCAUCCCCGUGGAGCUCAUCAUCCCUCUUCUCCAUCUUUCUUGUUCUUAUCCUAGGUGGACUAAAAGCCAGAGGUGGUGGGAGGAGCUCAUCAUCCCUCUUCUCCACCUUUCUUAUUCUUAUCCCUGGUGGACUAAAAGCCAGAGAUGGUGGUGGGAGCUCAUUAUCCCUCUUCUCCAUCUUUCUUACGGUGGUUAUUGGACUAAAAGGCAGAGGCGGCGGGGGGCGCGGCGAGGGUGGCAUUGAGGAUGUCAUCGAUGGCUCGGGAGGAGGCGGCGGUGGUGGAGGAGG
rnacentral:lncRNA from 1 species